GUCAAAUAACCCAUUUCCUAAGGUUAGUGGCUGGCCAUGACAUGAUGAUGGGCAAAGAAAACAUGUCCUAGACAUGUUGGCCUAGUGCAUUAUGGAAGGAAAAUAAAGAAAUGAAAAAAAAAAGGAAAAUGAUGAAAAAAAAAGAGUGUGGAUGCCCCCCCUUGUUGCCGUGAGUUGAGGAAAAAGAAAGGAGAAAAAUUUUGUUGUUCAUCCUUUCUCAUUUUGUUACAAUUGCCAUGACUUGAGAAGAAGAAAAAAAAAGUGUCCAUUCUCUCAUUUUUCUUUGCAUGGCCGAAUGUACUAAGAAGAAAGGGGGGGAAGCUUGAGAAAAUCAGCCAUGGGAGCUUACUAGACUAAGGUGUUUUGAUACAAGAAGCUCAAGAAGCUAGAGGGGGAGAAUCAAGCAAAA